rnacentral:rRNA from 1 species
AAAGUUUGAUCCUGGCUCAGGAUGAACGCUAGCUACAGGCUUAACACAUGCAAGUCGAGGGGCAGCAUUUAGUUGCUUGCAAACUGAAGAUGGCGACCGGCGCACGGGUGAGUAACACGUAUCCAACCUACCGAUAACUCCGGAAUAGCCUUUCGAAAGAAAGAUUAAUACCGGAUAGCAUACGAAUAUCGCAUGAUAUUUUAUAAAGAAUUUCGGUUAUCGAUGGGGAUGCGUUCCAUUAGUUUGUUGGCGGGG